UAUUUCACCAUUGGGUUGUUUGGCAUUGUUUUGCUUUUGUUUUCUCUCAACUCUGUUUGUUUUCUAGGAAUUUAGAGGCAAAGUAAGAAAAAAUAGUGGCUGGUCUCCAGCUCCCAGAAGAUGCCAGAAGAUGCUUCAGACAGGAUCCUAGCGAAGAGUGGAGUCUGCAGGCGAGAAGUUGGAUGAAUGUGAAGCUGGCCACCCUGAAUACCCCCUACCCCCUGGGUAGAAAAAAUUCCAGACAUUGCUGAAGAGAGAGGUAUUUUUUUUUCAUUCAAAAGUAGGGAACUGGUGGUGGAAAGUUCCUUUGUUAGUCUCUGAGUCAUCGAGUCUUCUAAGGGGCUCUCUCUGUUUGUGUGCU
rnacentral:lncRNA from 1 species